UUAUGCUUUAAGCUAUCAACCAACAACACAUCUUCAAUAAAAAUAUUGGAUUUGUUACCUAUAGUUCCUUUACCAAUGAUUUGACCCUUGUUGUUGUCUCCGAAGGUGACAUAUCCUUCAUCUAGGCUUAUGAUGUAACACCCCUCAAUUCCGAAUGUUCGUAUAAAUUUUUGGUGAUAAUGUAAGCAUCUAUUUUAAUUGACAAAAGAAAUAGAGUAUGAAUCAGAGGUAACUUAUUUUUAAGAUUUGGGAGAUCUGUUCAAAAAAAAAAAAAAAAAAAAAAAAAAAAGAAAGAAUCUGAGGACCUAUAUGUAAACCCUAAGGACCUAAUCGUGAAUAUGAUAAAAACAAGGACUAAACUGCAAAAUGCACCAAAUGACAAAUUCCACCGCUUAAGCCUCUCUGCCUUCGUUGUUAAGGAAGCAGAGGAGGCAGCUCGUGGGUGAUCAGGGAAAGAAAAGAAGAAGAAGAAGAAGAAGAAGAAGAAGGAGAAGAGAAAGAAAAUUUGGGGCUUUUAGGGUUUUUGCUUUAAUCUUGUUACUUCGGGUCAAAAUUUGCAAAGGAUAGCGUAACUCUUGCUUAAAUGUUAAGAAUGGGCUGAGGCAGCGGAAAGUUUAGAAGACGUUGGGCAGAACUUUUGUUAGCAUAUAUGUAGUUGUGUAUAAGCUACCUUGCAUCUAAUGAAAUGUGACUAUGAAUCUAAACCUGUGGAUUUUGUGUAAGUUAAAGGAUCCCUCAUGUAUAGGGUUUUGGAAUGUUAAAUUAAAUUGUGUAAUGAUAUGAACUUAUGGUAAAUCGAUGAUUGUGGUGACUGCA